UUGACAUCUCUUCUCACCAGCAGCUGGAGGACUGUCUCUAGGUGGAACAUUCAGAUGCUUGCAGGUCCACUGCUAUUGUGCUUUUUCAGAAAUUGCUACAAUAGCACACGGACAAGGAAUGAGAGGAACAAGAAAUGUCUCCUCAUGGAGUGAACCCAGAGGAAAAAUGUCUCGCUGCUCUAUGGGUCACAUCCCAAGCCACUCUUCACUCACGAUGAGACAGACAGAGUGAUGGGGCCACACAACCUGCUGUGACCUGGAGAUUGCUGUAACAACCCAUUGAGAGCCAGUGCAGAGAUGGACCUUAUUGCUUUUGAAAGAUGGUAAGUACAAGGUUCACAGAUCCCUGGGCAGAGUUU
rnacentral:lncRNA from 1 species